rnacentral:misc_RNA from 1 species
AGUCGUAACAAGGUUUCCGUAGGUGAACCUGCGGAAGGAUCAUUACUAAAUCCAAAUCUAUGAAAAAUCAUCAUGUUGAAACGUGUGUGCAUUUGCGGGGUUGUGGAGGUGUGAAUGAGAGAGGAGCGUGAGCGUGUGAUGUGGGUGUGAGAUUAGGUGCUUGCACCAAACCACCCCCUCCAUAUUAUCUGGCCUCUCUUGUACACACACCACUCCCGUAAAUCAUAUUAAAAACCACUCUUAUACCAAUGACAGUUAUUUAUACAUACAUAAAAAAAGCAUAACUUUUAACAAUGGAUCUCUUGGCUCUU